AUUCGGACUUCAGAGUUUGAUCCUGCCUCGGGACGAACGCUGGCGGCGUGCUUAACACAUGCAAGUCGAACGGAAAGGCCCCUUCGGGGGUACUCGAGUGGCGAACGGGUGAGUAACACGUGGGUGGCCUGCCCUGCACUUCGGGAUAAGCCUGGGAAACUGGGUCUAAUACCGGAUAGGACCGCAUCGUGAGGAUGUGGUGGAAAGUUUUUUCGGUGCAGGAUGGGCCCGCGGCCUAUCAGCUUGUUGGUGGGGUAAUGGCCUACCAAGGCGGCGACGGGUAGCCGGCCUGAGAGGGUGGACGGCCACAUUGGGACUGAGACACGGCCCAGACUCCUACGGGAGGCAGCAGUGGGGAAUAUUGCACAAUGGGCGCAAGCCUGAUGCAGCGACGCCGCGUGGGGGAUGAAGGCCUUCGGGUUGUAAACUCCUUUCAUCAUCGACGAAGGGCUCACUUGUUGUGGGUUUGACGGUAGGUGGAGAAGAAGCACCGGCUAACUACGUGCCAGCAGCCGCGGUAAUACGUAGGGUGCGAGCGUUGUCCGGAAUUACUGGGCGUAAAGAGCUCGUAGGUGGUUUGUCGCGUCGUCUGUGAAAUUCCGGGGCUUAACUCCGGGCGUGCAGGCGAUACGGGCAUAACUUGAGUGCUGUAGGGGAGACUGGAAUUCCUGGUGUAGCGGUGAAAUGCGCAGAUAUCAGGAGGAACACCGAUGGCGAAGGCAGGUCUCUGGGCAGUAACUGACGCUGAGGAGCGAAAGCAUGGGGAGCAAACAGGAUUAGAUACCCUGGUAGUCCAUGCCGUAAACGGUGGGCGCUAGGUGUAGGGGUCUUCCACGACUUCUGUGCCGUAGCUAACGCAUUAAGCGCCCCGCCUGGGGAGUACGGCCGCAAGGCUAAAACUCAAAGGAAUUGACGGGGGCCCGCACAAGCGGCGGAGCAUGUGGAUUAAUUCGAUGCAACGCGAAGAACCUUACCUGGGCUUGACAUGUACGGGAUCGGGCUAGAGAUAGUCUUUCCCUUGUGGCUCGUAUACAGGUGGUGCAUGGUUGUCGUCAGCUCGUGUCGUGAGAUGUUGGGUUAAGUCCCGCAACGAGCGCAACCCUUGUCUUGUGUUACCAGCGCGUUAUGGCGGGGACUCAUGAGAGACUGCCGGGGUCAACUCGGAGGAAGGUGGGGAUGACGUCAAAUCAUCAUGCCCCUUAUGUCCAGGGCUUCACACAUGCUACAAUGGUCGGUACAGUGGGUUGCGAUACCGUGAGGUGGAGCUAAUCCCUUAAAGCCGGUCUCAGUUCGGAUCGGGGUCUGCAACUCGACCCCGUGAAGUCGGAGUCGCUAGUAAUCGCAGAUCAGCAACGCUGCGGUGAAUACGUUCCCGGGCCUUGUACACACCGCCCGUCACGUCAUGAAAGUUGGUAACACCCGAAGCCAGUGGCCUAACCCUUUUUUGGGAGGGAGCUGUCGAAGGUGGGAUUGGCGAUUGGGACGAAGUCGUAACAAGGUAGCCGUACCGGAAGGUGCGGCUGGAUCACCUCCUUGAAUUCCGAAU
rnacentral:rRNA from 1 species